rnacentral:rRNA from 1 species
AUUCCAGCUCCAAUAGCGUAUAUUAAAGUUGUUGCAGUUAAAACGCUCGUAGUCGGAUUUCGGGGCGGGCCGACCGGUCUGCCGAUGGGUAUGCACUGGCCGGCGCGUCCUUCCACCCGGAGACCGCGCCUACUCUUAACUGAGCGGGCGCGGGAGACGGGUCUUUUACUUUGAAAAAAUUAGAGUGCUCAAAGCAGGCUUUUACGCCUGAGUAUUCGUGCAUGGAAUAAUAGAAUAGGAAGUCGUUUCUAUUUUGUUGGUUUUCGGAAAUCGACUUAAUGAUUAAUAGGGACAGUCGGGGGCAUUUGUAUUCAAACGACAGAGGUGAAAUUCUUGGACCGUUUGAAGACAAACUACUGCGAAAGCAUUUGCCAAGAAUGUUUUCAUCA